UGAAAAUGUAUUGAAGUCAAAAAGAGUUUGACUUGGUUUAAUCGACCCUGAAGCUUUUGAUGAAACAAGAAGAGGGACAUGGCCGUGUGAAGAACUCAGAAACCUCGUGCUUAAUACGGUUCUUCCUUCAUCAGCAUUUUCAGGCACAAACAUGUUUGAUUUUUAAAUAAGUUUCCUGUUUGUAAAACAUAAGCAGAGACAAAUAUUUCUAUACUGCUACAGGGUCUAAGGGAAGAAACAAAUGGCCUGUAGCCCGAAUUAAAAAUUUAUGGUCCAAAGCAGAACAACCAUCUUUUUUGCCAUUACACAUACCGUUUUGUUCACCAUCAGCAAGAAAAGAGAUUCCACUAGAUGGCAACAACGAUAAAAAUAUUUUCAGGAAAGUUCUCAACAAGGCAGAACUAACCGUAAUCGUCCUUUCCUAUUGGAAUUACAUUACAGACGUAAGAUAAUACUUUGAAUAAUCAAAUGUAAAAAAUGUAAAAAAAGAAAAUAAAUUGUCCUAAAAAGAA